UUCAUGAUGAAACAUGGUCUUAAAUAAAAUAGAGAUCAGUAUGAAAAUAAAAUUAUACACAGAAAAUUCUUUUCCCCAAAUGUUUUUGAGUAACAGGGAAUACAACACAACAGUCCUGUAUUCAAAUUAUGUAAAUCUGUGAGCAGUCAAACAUUAUAGUACAUUCCUUGAAGCCAGGCACAAUGAUACACAUUGUGUGCCCCUGUAACACACUCAACACAUUUUCUAUCUAUUCUCUCUGCCUCGAAGAAAAAAAUCCUGAAAUGUAAUGCAAUGUAAAGAGGGAAAAGGAGGGAAACCAUGUUAAUGCUUGACGCACGUAUUCCCCAUUUAGUGUUUUGUGAAAGUCAUGUACCAAAUUCAGAUGAAACUUAAAACUGGCUUGUAGAAAGAUAGAAAAACUUGGAAUUGUAUUUGAUAUACAGUCUUGUGAACACUUAACUGAAAAGUAUGGAAAGGAUUAAAAAAUACACCGUGUUCUACUUAAAGCUUAGAAAUAAAUAUGCACUCCAUAUUCUCAGUGCCUGAAAUUCUUUAAAAACAAAGAACUUGGUAUAAAAUUAUAUCAAGUAAUUGUCAAAAAUGAGGAAGAUGCACCUGUAAUCCUGUUAGAUUCUGGAUGCCUGCAUCCCCACUACAAAAACCUGUAAAACUCUACACACUUUCAAACAUGCUGAAUAACCCAAACUGUAACCUAGCAAGGGCAGGAACAUCAACUGACUUGGGGGUAGCAGUAUUCCACACCACAUCCCUCAUUACCUUCUUUUCCUCUAAAGAUCUCCCUUUCCAUACUGUACCAGCCCUUACAAGUACAAAUGUUCAGUCAAUUAUUCAAAAAGCAGCCUUGCUGAUCAGGAUUCAUGGAUGCCCUCAAGGCUACAUCAUUCCCAGGAAAAACAGCGUGCAAAGAAAAAGCAUCCUCCAAAUGUGAUUUAUGUAGUUAAUAUUAUCAUAAUUCUCCUCCUCCCUGCAAUGCUGAUAAUAAACAGCAGUCUCCUGAGUGUUGCAGACUCGUUGCAGAAAAAUGUCCUACUGUAUGGAACUAUUGAACCAGUAUGGUUCAACAUGCAAGCUGUCUUCUCAUUUAGGACUUCAAGUUUAUAUAAAACUCCUCCCAUCUCAGUAACCAUGUUGCAGAAGAAAAAUCACAAGGAAUUCUUCUUUUUACUCUCAUAUUGAAUGAUCCAAUAGUCUUGUCUUUCAGGUAAAAAAAAACCACAUCAACUUUUAGGUACAGAAACCCAUCAUGAAACCCUCCCACUCUCUUACACAGUAUUUUUUUUGAUAAUAUCAUUAGAGUGUGAAUGGAAUCAAGACUUGCAUCUGCUUGGCUAAAGCUACCUAGGGUAAUUAGAAUCUUCACAAUUACCUAAGUAAGCUUUGAAAAUGCCACAUCAAUCUCUGUCUUUGUGGAAAUGCAUGUGGAUAUUUGCAUUAUGGUUCUUACACAACUAUAAUACAAAUAUCAAGUAUCUUAAAAAAACCCAAAAUCUGCAUUUUGACACAUCUAAACAUUAGGGAUUUGUCCCAUCACAUUGAAAAGGAAAGUCACCAUUGGUUGUGAUGAUUUAAUCUUUUAUCAGAAGUGGUAUCCCUUGUCAAAUGCAGAUAAUAAUAAAUAGUCAUUACUUGUACAAAUAGAAGACCACUUCGACAAACCAUCCUUAUUUAAAAGCCUCCCUUUUCCUGAAAAUAGCCCAAAUAAAAAAACAACCCAGUCCCAAUAAAACAAAACAGCCAAACCACGUAGAAGUAAAUUUUCUGAUUGUGUACUUAAGAUUUUCAAAAGCUAAUAAUCAGUUAAAGCAUGUCCUGCAGUUGCAGUAACACCAAUGUAUUUCAGGAUGAACAGUCAUUUUUUCCUAGGUGCAUUAUCCUAGCCUAAUUUUCAAGCAGGAAGUAUCCUAUUUUAUAUCCCAGGGCUCAUCACAGCUCAGUGUCCUCAAAGUGCAGUCCUUUUCCUGUGCCUACUCUCAGACUUGUCUUCACUCCAGCACUCCUCCAUAGCUGUACCUUGUGCGCUGCGUGGAACUGCCCUGUCUUAUCAUUACAGCACCUACAAUUACAUUCCUUCUCAGAAUUAUUUAUGAGGCUUCCAAGAUUUAUUUCCUUAUUCAUACAGUAAUCUACUUUAAAAUUAGUGAGCUCCAACGUCUGACUGCAGUCAGCAUGGCAAUCAAAUAUGAUGUCUCAGCAAAAUCCUCUUUUAUUGACCUUAUACUGCUGGAUGGGAAUUUCUAACUAUGAAAAAUGUAAUCCUUGUUUAAAACGAAAGGUAUUGAGUAGUCAGGGGAGUGUGUCACGAGCUGCUUGUAUUGCAAGCAGCAGGCAUCACACAUAGAAUGAGCUUUUGGGAAGAAUCCAGCUCAAGGGCUGCAUGAAAAAGCCUCCAGCUGUGGAAGGCACAGUGCUCACUACAGAACAGAUCUCCUGCUGCUGUGAUUUCUGAAUCAGCAUCACCUGCCUCACUGCAAGGGCUCUGCACCCACCUGGCCAACAGCCUGGGGCAGCCCAUGAGGCCCACAAAUUCUGGUAAUAUAAAACAUUGCAAGCAAAAUCCCCUGCCUCAUUAAUUUUGCAAAACCAAAAGACAUUUUACCCUUGGAUAUCUAAUCAACUAUUUUCAAAACCACUUUUAUGACUAUUUUUAUUGAACAGCUCAGUCUUGAUGUCAGAGUAACAGUCAUCCUGUCCACUCUGGACUGAGCUGCUUUUGAAAGCAAACCCAAACCAAGAGUCUUACUGCGAUACUACAGCUACAGUCAGUGUAGGUGGUCAGCAAUUGUCUCUGGGUGAUUGUAGGAUUAUGUGCAAUCAAAAGGGACAGGAUGGAUGGCUUUGGAAGGCAGCCCAGAAUAAGGGAGACCAGAGUCCUGUGGAGUUCUGUAGGUCUAUACAUUUAAAAGCUAAUUGAUGUCAGCACAAAAGGAUGUUAAAUUAGUUGAACAAUAUACCUCCUGAGUGCUUAACAAAAGCCUCAAAGCAGGCAAGGCUUUUUCUAACACGGCUGAAUGAGAAGCUUCUCAAAGUUCUGAAAACAAGAAACAACUGAAACCCAAAAUAUAAAGUUUCCUUAUUCAGAAGUUUUUUAACAGGCAAAAGGACUGAGAGAAGCAUAGCUCGUCUCCCUUUCACAUCCAUCAUAGCUUUGAGAAAUUUGUCAGAAUACAUCUCUAGUUAAAAUUUUAGUAUAAUUAUUCCGCAAUGUAAUCUGAAAGGAAACAAGUUCAAAUUUUGAAAUAGAGACUUAGAAAGGGGAUAAUCAAUGAGUGUAGCAAUUAUUUCACAUAGUCAUCAGGAGGUAUUUUUAAAUGCAUUUUGAAUACAUUCAGACACUUCAAUGGAUUGUAACCAUUCCAGGAGUCCUUGACUGUCAUCCUUUUAUCAAAAAUCAGGAGGAACCUUUCUAAACAGUGGCCAGAAGGUCAGUCAUACUAAACAGAAUUAUCAAAUAAUCAUGAUUUACCUUAAAAUACCUACAGCAUAAUAUGGUUCUGAUCAAAGCCUAUGAAGUAAAGUCCUAAAGGAAAAUAUUUAGUAAAAAAUACUAAAAACGUUUAAGUAAAAAACAUUCCAUAGCAAUGAACACCCCAAACAGUAGUAGCCUAGUGCCAAAAUUAGUCAGUCUAAAGCUGAACAGAAGCACUGUGAAGUUCAUGGUCUAUUUAGAAGACAUGCAAAAUAUAAACCCCAUCUUUCAUUGUGAAAAUUCUGUGUUUGGAGAGUCAGCACUGUAAUUCUGCAUACUGCUAACUGAAGUGGGUUAUACUGCCUUUACAGUAAAGUUAUUCUUUUCCUCUAGUAUUUACCUAACAUAUAUUUAGUUUUCCAGCAAACAAGUAAUUUCAAAUUCAACCUCCAAAAUUUUUUUAUUGUAAAGUAUUUAGGCAAAAUGUUAAACUAGUCCAACAGCAGCUAUGUCAUUGCACUAUCAAAAUUGUAAAGAAUUUUUUUACUUAAACUGAUGAGCCAGUCCACCCAUAGUAUUUCUGCAGUUCUGUUUUAUAGCACAUAAUUGAGUCAAGCCACAGUUUAUGAAGCCAGCUUUCAGUAAUUCUUCUGAAAUUUUGCUUGGAGUUCAAUUGCUUGCCCAGAGAGAAAAGGAUGAGAAGGGGAAACAACAGUAUAGGAAGCUACAUCUGCAGUCUUAUGAUUGGAGAUUAACCUUCUGCUCAAUUCCCAUUAGUGCUAACAGGAAUAUAUUAACCACAUAAAAAAGUAGCAGGCAAAAAACACUAUUAAGACAGCGUGCUUCAAGCAGCUCCAUAAAACUCUGCAGCAACUCAGUAAACAUCUGCAAUUAAUACUGCUGAGAUUACAUUUAACAACCAGAUGAUACAACUACAAAUACUUCAGAAGGAAUUUUUUUUACUUUUUCUAAAGGAUUAAAAAUACAUAAGAAACCACAAACCUCUUCUCUUUCCUAUAAUUUUAAACUGAGCAAACUACCAGUCCAGUGCUCUGCCAGUCCAAUUCCUACCAGAAGCUUUGUGUGAUGUCCUGCCAGAGCACUGCUGCCUAAAUUUUCAGUUCCCUGAAGAUUACAGCUAUUCCCACCCCUGUGUGACCCAGGGCUGCCUGCUGCCAUGUGGAGCUCAUGUGGUGCCCAUGAGCAGGCGUGCCUGGGAAUGAAGAAUUCACCCCACAUACUCUCUAAGCCAUAUUAACAUUUUUUAUGGUAAGGUCAGUACAGGAUAAUGAAAAUGAUGUUUAAAAGCAAAAGGAGGCAAAUAUUUGAUGAAUUCCAAGGAAAAAGAGCUGGCAGGGAGGGGGUGGAUUGAAAGGCUUUCCUGUCCUGCCCUGCCAGGUGCUGCUGGCGGUGUGACAGAGGUGGCAGAUGGCUGUGCCCUGCUGCUGUGGGCAAAGGCACCACUCCCCUCACUGCUGCUGGCCUGCAGACUCUCAAUGGGUGCUUGCCACAGAGCAGGUGCCACACUGCAGAACUUACUGAUUCCAAGUUUUUGUGGUGUAUUUAGGAGUGUUCUGGCUAUAACCUGAUUGCCAGCAGUGCCAGCUGAGCAAAGCACACCUCUGCUAGGCUGGGAUGCUGGGACCUGGGGAGAGGGGCCUGCCCUAGCAUAUGGGGGACAAAGGCCAGUCUCCUGCCAGCCUGGGAGGCUGCAGUGACCUGGGAGCUGCUUUUUUGGCUGCUGAUGUGUGGCUCCACUUCCCAGCAGAGCAGGAAACAUGGGCACCUCACUUAAAUUCCUGCAGGGACCUCCCCUGCCAGCUUCUGUGUGAUGGAGAUGCUGCAGGUUAAGCUAGUAUGAGUUAUCAUUGGCUGAAGGGAUUCUUCAGUGUACUUUUUUCCUUCCUAAAUGCAAAGCUCCUUAGCACCAUCUGGAAAACCUCCAAGAACAUACAGAACUUUGGAAAGGCUCCCCAGUUUUGCUCUGUGUGGACCCUCAUCCCUGUGUCAUAAGCAAUGACAUGGUGGUGCCUGCUGCAGUCAGCUGCAGGACAUGAAAACUGGCUUUCCCUUGGGACACAUUUAAUGGCAAGGCUUCCAAAACCAAAGGAAGAACAUUCCAAGCAGUUGCCAGGAGAUGUGGGUAUUUGACUAAGCUCAGGCUUCCUUUCCUAUAGUUCCUCCU
rnacentral:lncRNA from 1 species